rnacentral:rRNA from 1 species
GACGACGACUCCUACGGGAGGCAGCAGUGGGGAAUCUUAGACAAUGGGCGCAAGCCUGAUCUAGCCAUGCCGCGUGAGUGAUGAAGGCCCUAGGGUCGUAAAGCUCUUUCGCCUGUGAAGAUAAUGACUGUAGCAGGUAAAGAAACCCCGGCUAACUCCGUGCCAGCAGCCGCGGUAAUACGGAGGGGUUAGCGUUGUUCGGAAUUACUGGGCGUAAAGCGCGCGUAGGCGGAUUAGUCAGUCAGAGGUGAAAUCCCCAGGGCUCAACCCCUGGAACUGCCUUUGAUACUGCUAGUCUUGAGUUCGAGAGAGGUGAGUGGAAUUCCGAGUGUAGAGGUGAAAUUCGUAGAUAUUCGGAGGAACACCAGUGGCGAAGGCGGCUCACUGGCUCGAUACUGACGCUGAGGUGCGAAAGUGUGGGGAGCAAACAGGAUUAGAUACCCUGGUAG